UCAGCUGCUGUGUAGAACUGGUCUGACUGGUCGCAGUUACUGGGAGGUCGAGUGGAGAGGAGAUGUUGAGAUAUCAAGUAUCAGUGUAUGUGGACUGUCCUGCUGGCAUUCUGUCCUUCUACAGAGUCUCACCCGACUCACUGCUCCUCCUCCACACCUUCAACACCACAUUCACUGAACCUCUGAUUCCUGGAUUUGGGUUCAGUCCUGAUUCAUCUUCAGUGUUUCUUUGCUGAUUUGAGUCUAAAGAUUUUCCUCCUGUCAGAGAAACUCUCUCACUGUUGAACAGAUAGUUCAUCUCUACAUGUUUUUAUGGAUCCAAACUGUUUCUUGGUGAAUCUUUAACACAUGAUUCCUUAGAAAUAUUUUCUUCUUCCAGUCAUUUAAAGAUGGAAGCUGGAAUUAUUCCAGGAUUAUUCCAGGAUCCAUAUGUUGUUUUUCUGUUUCCAGUCAGAGAUUUUCUUCAAUAUUUCUUGGAUUCAAAUGUUAAAUGAUCUUUUUGUAUAUUUGCUGCAGUUAUUCUUCAUGUAUUUAGUGAACAAUAAA